rnacentral:misc_RNA from 1 species
AAAAAAGCAUUGAAGCCCCAAGAUGAAAAUUGCCCACCUAAAUUCAAAAAACAGCGCAACUCGUUAAUCUCUCUACCUGCGCCUGCCAAAAACCUCAGAUUUACCCUUGAAUAAUAGAUCCAUGGAUAGUCCUACUGUGGAUGGAUUAAACGGGCGCAUAAACUUCCGAGAGGGAGCCAUCUGGGGGUCUUCCUUAUUGGUUUUCUUCCUCCUGGAAGGGCCCCCACUGGCUCCAGCGCUUUUAAUGGAUGCAGAUGACUUUGAAGUGAAUAUCGAUGAGUUGAAAGAAGAAUCAGGUGCACCAAAUGAUACAGGGGCUUUAUGUGAUGCAUCUAUACGAUGCCCAACUGCUGCAUCCUGAUGAGGAGGUGGAAAUUUUUCACUCUUGCUCUUAGCAUUUGCUUGUGUCAUGACUCUCAAUCUAUCUAAGUUUGAUGGAUUCUCUGCAUUGGCUUCGGGUGCUGGAAUUGCCCUGCCUACCCGAUCACGAAUUCUAACUCUUCUAGCACCAUCAACAACAUUUGCUUUUCCACUAAGGCCUCUUUGCCUCCUUGCUUCCUCUUCUCUCAACUUCACAUCCAUUUCUUUGCUGGGAGGAUACUUGGGCAAACUUGAUGGCUCACAAGCAUAAGGUUCAGUGGUAAAGAAUUCACUAUUUAGAGCACUAGUGGCAGUGCCACGAUUAUCAGGGUCAACUGAAAGA